GGCCUACCAUGGUUUUAACGGGUAACGGGGAAUUAGGGUUCGAUUCCGGAGAGGGAGCCUGAGAAACGGCUACCACAUCCAAGGAAGGCAGCAGGCGCGCAAAUUACCCAAUCCCGACACGGGGAGGUAGUGACAAUAAAUAACAAUACGGGGCUCAUUUGGGUCUCGUAAUUGGAAUGAGUACAAUUUAAAUCUCUUAACGAGGAACAAUUGGAGGGCAAGUCUGGUGCCAGCAGCCGCGGUAAUUCCAGCUCCAAUAGCGUAUAUUAAAGUUGUUGCAGUUAAAAAGCUCGUAGUUGAACUUCGGGGUUCACCCAUUGGUCAGGCUUAAUUGUCUGUACUGGUGAGAUGAGUCUCUACCUUCUGAGGAACUUUCAUGCCAUUUAUUUGGUGUGGCUGGAAAUCAGGACUGUUACUUUGAAAAAAUUAGAGUGUUUAAAGCAGGCUAACGUCUGAAUACAUUAGCAUGGAAUAAUGAAAUAGGACGGAUUGAUCCUAUUUUGUUGGUUUCUAGGAUUGACGUAAUGAUUAAUAGGGAUAGUUGGGGGCAUUAGUAUUCAAUUGUCAGAGGUGAAAUUCUUGGAUUUAUUGAAGACUAACUACUGCGAAAGCAUUUGCCAAGGAUGUUUUCAUUAAUCAAGAACGAAAGUUAGGGGAUCGAAGACGAUCAGAUACCGUCGUAGUCUUAACCAUAAACUAUGCCGACUAGGGAUCGGAUGAUGUUAUUUUUAAUGACUCAUUCGGCGCCUUACG
rnacentral:rRNA from 1 species